CGUGCUUCGGUGGCGCGCCGCCCAGAGCGCCUGCGACUGGAAGCGUCGAGGAGAGUCCGCGGCCGGCGCAGCUGCCAGACGCGCCUCGCACCCUCGCGGCGACCACCGGCGAGGUUGCCCCUGGAGCGCCUGUUUUCCCUUAGCUUCUGAACUAGCGAUGUAAAAGCUCUGACUAUAAAAGUGAUAAAAUGAGUACAUCAGUGAUAUACACAUUUGAGGACACUCAGCCCAUGGUAUUUUCCUUACCUGAAUGGAUAAACUUUCUGGACCUCAAGUUUGUCCAGAUGUAAAUGAAAAGCUUACUGAACUUGCAGCUGUCAUCAUGCAUUAUUGUAACUGUAGGAUGAGAAGGAAGGAGCAACAUUUCCAGUCACCUAAGAAGAAUGCUGAGGAAGAACAAAACCAAAGGUGGCUUUAACAAGUGAGAAGACUGAGGUCCUUCAAGGUUAACUCAAUUCAUGGAAACAUUCAACAAGUUCUCAACUUUAGGACUCCACACUCAAAUUUUCAGCUGAGUCCCCAUUCUACUGUGGCAGGCUUUGGGGACAGUUUAAAGGAGAAUUGUUACUGACUUUUCAAAAAUAAAGUUAGUUCACUCUGGC